rnacentral:rRNA from 1 species
UACAGAGGUCUCAAGCGUUGUUCGGAUUCACUGGGCGUAAAGGGCGCGUAGGCGGUCGGGUAAGUCUGAUGUGAAAUCUCCAAGCCUAACUUGGAAACUGCAUUGGAUACUAUCCGGCUAGAGGAAUGGAGGGGAGACUGGAAUACUUGGUGUAGCAGUGAAAUGCGUAGAUAUCAAGUGGAACACCAGUGGCGAAGGCGGCGCGCUGGAACGAGACUGACGCUGAGGCGCGAAAGCGUGGGGAGCAAACAGG